ACAAGUGUCAUUGAAUAACUUUUUUCUUUAACAGUUAUGCUGCCUUGACUUGUUGUAUAGGAUGAUACUCAUCUCUUGGACCCCUGGCCUCUCACCUGGGACCUAAGUGCACACCUUUGUCUUCACUCCUGACUGAUAGAUCAGGGAGUCAGACUCCUCCUGAGCCAUUGAUCCAAACAUCCAAUGAAGCUGAAACAAAACUUCCUUGUUAAAGGCCUGAUGGCUCACACUUUCUAGGAGAUGUCCUCUACUCCCAAGCCAGCGGAUGAUUCAGCUGGUCUUUGAUGAACAAAAGGAGAUGGAACAAAAAAAAAGAGGACUUACAUUGUUCAAAGGAAAGAAGACUGUCUCUUAUUUCCUUGAACAAGAGGGGAGACUGACAAAAAUUCUUUGCUUGGCCAAACUUCAAUCAGGCUUCUGAAUCUUCUGCUAGACCCCUCUGCACACUUCCUUAUAAAAUCCUGUUUGAACAAAGAA